rnacentral:rRNA from 1 species
UCAACGGAGAGUUUGAUCCUGGCUCAGGACGAACGCUGGCGGCGUGCUUAACACAUGCAAGUCGAACGGUGACGCGGAGCUUGCUCCGCUGAUCAGUGGCGAACGGGUGAGUAACACGUGAGCAACCUGCCCUUGACUCUGGGAUAACAGCUGGAAACAGCCGCUAAUACCGGAUACGACCUCGACUGACAUCAGACGAGGUGGAAAGCUCCGGCGGUCAUGGAUGGGCUCGCGUCCUAUCAGCUAGUUGGUGAGGUAACGGCUCACCAAGGCUUCGACGGGUAGCCGGCCUGAGAGGGCGACCGGCCACACUGGGACUGAGAUACGGCCCAGACUCCUACGGGAGGCAGCAGUGGGGAAUAUUGCA